rnacentral:lncRNA from 1 species
CCACCUGCUCUGUAUGGUGUAUCCAUCUCUAUGUGGAUGCUGUGAAAUUACCUCUGCCUUAGCUUCUCUGAAGCUUCUCGUUGACUUCUCCCUGCACUCCCAAAGACUCCUCCUUCCCCAGUCUGGUGCGUGUCCGUGACUGAUGUCACGAUGCCAGAAUCACAGGGCAUCUCCUUUAUGUCCCUUUCUUAAGGGUAACAUCGCAAUGAUGAGAAAAUACUGAUUGAAUAGUAAUACCGCCUGCACAAUACAGCAGAAUCCAUUCUCGUCUCACCAUUUCUGCCACUCCUACCCUAAUCCAAACCAUCGCCAUCCAACCACAAGGUCUCACCUAGACUUUCACAUCACACCCAACUGAGCCUCCUUGCUUCUGCUCAACUACUUGAGACUUGAAAGCUAUUCCCACAACAGCCAAGAUGUUACACAGCUUCUGGAGAUAACAGAAUAAAUAAAAGGCCAUAGGUGUGAUCCACAUUCUGUUUUGACCGUUAAUCCAUCAGAGUAACGUAACUUAUGAGAAAAGAGUUCAAGGGGACAGGCAGAAUUGUCCUGGAAAGAUGCCUCUCCCACGUGGCGAGCACAGUGAACCUAGUUAAUUGGGUUCAGGGCCUUAAAAACACACUGGAAAAAAAGGACGCAGACGAGGGUGUGUUUACCCCUAGCUCUAGGGUAGGGGCUUCCUGACUGUUCACGGUGGUCACCAUCAGCAUGACGGCAGCAUGACCACGCAUGCUGUACACUCACUUUAUCGCGGAAAAUAAAUGAAUGAGAACCAAGAACUGGAUCCACCACCCUUUGGAGGGCUGGAGUUGCACCAUCCUGAUUGUCAAGGGACAGUCAGGACAAGGAGGGCCAUAGGUCAGGGGAAGACAUGUUCUGUCAAGAGUCAAGGGCAAGGUGAAUGUGGAGUUCCCGUUGUGGCACAAUAGCAACAAGUCUGACUAGUAUCCAUGAGGAUGCUGGUUCGAUCCCUGGCCUCACUCAGUGGGUUAAGGAUUCUGUGUCGCCGUGAGCUGUGGUGUAGGUCGCAGACAAGGCUUGGAUCUUGUAUUGCUGUGGCCGUGGUGUAGGCCGGAGGAUGCAGCUCCAAUUUGACUCCUAGCCUGGGAACCUCCAUGUGCCGUGAGUGCGGCCCUAAAAAAAAGACAAAAAAAAGAAAAAAGAAAAAAAAAAGAAAUCAAGGGCAAGGUGGAGAUCUCGAGUCUGCAGAGACACAGGAAGGAUGGCAUUUGAUCUUUUCAUGGAUGAGUUAAAGUUUUAUGUAUGGAACCUAGCAGGCGCAAUAUUGUUUUCUUUAUGCAACACUUUUCUUUGAACUCUUGUAAUCUGUGUAUAAAAAUGAAACCGGAAUUCUUCCCAGAUUGUGAGGUACUUUGCAAAGUGCAGAAUAGAAACAAAGCAAGAUCACUGCUAGCAGGAAGAGAGCGGUGAGCCUGUGGCUUUACAUGCUCUGCUCUUCCUGCCGACACUGGAAAAUAGACGCACUAAAGGUUAGGUGUAAUCUGGGGCUGUAGACCAAGAUAUGAGACCAGAUAGACUUUGAGGAAAAUACAGAUCAUUUUAGUGACUGAAGCAUAUUGUCUAAAUAAAUAUGCCUUUACUUAAGAAUUUAGCAAGGUGAUGAUGGCUGUGGUAUUCAGAUUAGAUUAGAGAUUUUCCAAUUCUGGGAUUUACUUGGAGCCAUGACUGAGGGGUGUUUAUUUUUAUUUUUCUCUUUUAAAAAUUGGAAUUUUUUUUUCUAAUUCAUUUUUCCAAUGUGGAGGUUUUGAAUGGAAGUAAGGGGCUAACCAUAGGCAUUAAGGUUCAGUUUUCUGUGUUAUGUUCUCUGAAUCAGAUACACACCUGAAUGAUCACUCCUCUCUCUGUCAACAGAGAAAAAGGUGGCAGGGAGCAGAGUGAACAAAAUUAUAGGAAAGGGGGAAAAUGGUCUUCAUUGCCACAUGUCAAAGAAGUAUUGGCUCAGGUACAGUAUUUAUCACUCGAGGUGUAUGAUUCCAAAAGCGCAUUUAUAUGCUAUCAUCAGUUAAGUGGGCUGAGCCAUUCUUCAUCCGAUUAAAAAUGAAGGUAUAAAAAGUGCAGGCUGACACCAUGUUAUACCGGAUUAUAGUCUUUUAUCAAAGAUUAGCAGGCUCUGUUCUAUUAUCUAGCAGGCCCGAGUUCUCCCAAUCCAUUGCCUUUGCACAGGAGAAUGACAAAAUUCAAAUUUCAAAUGCAGCCAGCGAAUGAAUAAAGAGUGGCGAUGACUCAGCCUGGAGAAAAUAUGACUGUUGGAGUAUUACCGUAAAACAAGCCUCCCUGUUCAAUCUGUCAACACAAACAACCAGAACGUGGGGAAGGGCCGGGUGCAGAAGAGGAAUCUAAAUGAAUUUGGAGUUCUCAAUCUUUCAACUGGUUACAGCAAAAAAAGAGAAAACCUUUGUGAAGACGAAAGAGCUUUCUUCUAUAUUUAAAUUUAUAGGCCUGACUUAAUUUUCAUCUGCGAAUUGAGAUAGGAGAUUGCAAUAAUAAAUGGCAGCCUUUAGAAACCACUUGGUCAGACAUUAAAGAAUAGGUUUAGAUUGCAACUAUAUCUGGUCAAGUCUCUGAUGGGUCACCUAUUGAUUAUCGAAAAGAAAUCCCUUGUUUGACAUACAAUCUAUCUAUUUACUCUUGAACUGCUUUUUUUUAAAGGUCUGGGUUUUCUAAAUAUUAAGCCUAUGGAAACAAAACAGAAGGAGAAUUCUGGAAUGAAAUACACAGCCUACUCUUUUUUGUGUGUGCUUCAAAGAAGAAUAUAGCCAUGAUUUGAGCAAUUGUGACCGGGAACUGCCUGCUUUGAUGAUAAAUGACUAAGUUAGUGGUCUUUGUACUUAAUAAACAAAGAUUGAGGUCUUGAAAGAUCCGACAGAGUAUAUGCUUUGAGAUUCUCUUAUUGUAGUAAAGACGUGUGUUUAAAACAGUCUUAGUCUGGCGUUGCCACAAUGGCGGUGUAGGUCGCAGCUGUGGCUCGGAUCUGAUCCCUGGCCAGAAACUCCCUAUGACGUGUGGCAG